UGGCUCACGCCUGUAAUCCCAGCACUUUGGGAGGCCGAGGCGGGCGGAUCAUGAGGUCAGGAGAUCGAGACCAUCCUGGCUAACACGGUGAAACCCCGUCUCUACUAAAAAUACAAAAAAUUAGCCGGGCGUGGUGGCGGGCGCCUGUGGUCCCAGCUACUCGGGAGGCUGAGGCAGGAGAAUGGCGUGAACCCGGGAGGCGGAGCUUGCAGUGAGCCGAGAUCGCGCCACUGCACUCCAGCCUGGGCGACAGAGCGAGACUCCGUCUCAA
rnacentral:lncRNA from 1 species